rnacentral:piRNA from 1 species
UGGGGAACUUAUGUUUUUAUGAGACUGUUU